rnacentral:rRNA from 1 species
GACGAACGCUGGCGGCGUGCUUAACACAUGCAAGUCGAACGGAAAGGCCCUGCUUUUGUGGGGUGCUCGAGUGGCGAACGGGUGAGUAACACGUGAGUAACCUGCCCUUGACUUUGGAAUAACUUCAGGAAACUGGGGCUAAUACCGGAUAGGAGCUCCUGCUGCAUGGUGGGGGUUGGAAAGUUUCGGCGGUUGGGGAUGGACUCGCGGCUUAUCAGCUUGUUGGUGGGGUAGUGGCUUACCAAGGCUUUGACGGGUAGCCGGCCUGAGAGGGUGACCGGCCACAUUGGGACUGAGAUACGGCCCAGACUCCUACGGGAGGCAGCAGUGGGGAAUAUUGCACAAUGGGCGGAAGCCUGAUGCAGCAACGCCGCGUGCGGGAUGACGGCCUUCGGGUUGUAAACCGCUUUCGCCUGUGACGAAGCGUGAGUGACGGUAAUGGGUAAAGAAGCACCGGCUAACUACGUGCCAGCAGCCGCGGUGAUACGUAGGGUGCGAGCGUUGUCCGGAUUUAUUGGGCGUAAAGGGCUCGUAGGUGGUUGAUCGCGUCGGAAGUGUAAUCUUGGGGCUUAACCCUGAGCGUGCUUUCGAUACGGGUUGACUUGAGGAAGGUAGGGGAGAAUGGAAUUCCUGGUGGAGCGGUGGAAUGCGCAGAUAUCAGGAGGAACACCAGUGGCGAAGGCGGUUCUCUGGGCCUUUCCUGACGCUGAGGAGCGAAAGCGUGGGGAGCGAACAGGCUUAGAUACCCUGGUAGUCCACGCUGUAAACGGUGGGUACUAGGUGUGGGGUCCAUUCCACGGGUUCCGUGCCGUAGCUAACGCUUUAAGUACCCCGCCUGGGGAGUACGGCCGCAAGGCUAAAACUCAAAGGAAUUGACGGGGCCCCGCACAAGCGGCGGAGCAUGCGGAUUAAUUCGAUGCAACGCGUAGAACCUUACCUGGGUUUGACAUGGAUCGGGAGUGCUCAGAGAUGGGUGUGCCUCUUUUGGGGUCGGUUCACAGGUGGUGCAUGGCUGUCGUCAGCUCGUGUCGUGAGAUGUUGGGUUAAGUCCCGCAACGAGCGCAACCCUUGUUCACUGUUGCCAGCACGUUAUGGUGGGGACUCAGUGGAGACCGCCGGGGUCAACUCGGAGGAAGGUGGGGAUGACGUCAAGUCAUCAUGCCCCUUAUGUCCAGGGCUUCACGCAUGCUACAAUGGCUGGUACAGAGAGUGGCGAGCCUGUGAGGGUGAGCGAAUCUCGGAAAGCCGGUCUCAGUUCGGAUUGGGGCCUGCAACUCGACCUCAUGAAGUCGGAGUCGCUAGUAAUCGCAGAUCAGCAACGCUGCGGUGAAUACGUUCCCGGG